rnacentral:rRNA from 1 species
CAGAGGGUGCAAGCGUUGUUCGGAAUUACUGGGCGUAAAGCGCGCGCAGGCGGAUCCUGUAAGUCGGAAGUGAAAUUUCGGAGCUCAACUCCGAAGCUGCUUCUGAUACUGCGGAUCUGGAGAUCGGUAGAGGUCGGUAGAAUUACAGGUGUAGCGGUGGAAUGCGUAGAUAUCUGUAAGAAUACCCGUGGCGAAGGCGGCCGACUGGGCCGGAUCUGACGCUGAGGCGCGAAAGCGUGGGGAGCAAACAGGAUUAGAUACCCUGGUAGUCCACGCCGUAAACGAUGGGCACUAGGUGCCGGGGGGAGCGACCCCUUCGGUGCCGCAGCUAACGCGAUAAGUGCCCCGCCUGGGGAGUACGGCCGCAAGGCCG